rnacentral:misc_RNA from 1 species
UUGGAAGAUGCAAGGCAUUACUUCUUGCUAGCUAUAGUUUCAUGCUACUCACUGUUUCCACUUCUAUACGAGGCUCAGGAAUAUCCCAUCAAAGUGUUGUUAUUGCUAUUACAUUCCAUUUUAAUGUGGCACAGCUUUUCUGCACAAAUCACCAAGGAUGCAGCAGCUAAAGUGACUGUAUCAGCGAAGACAGGUAAACAAUUGAGUUCACUGGGAUCUUUAAGCGCCACUGUUGAAAAAGAAAGAAUCCUUAUUGGAUGGGUUGGGAAGUGUUACCUGUUUGGUCUUUUGGGUGUUGAAAUAUGGGGCCAGUUUUUGCAUCCUUACCUCCUUGGUGAUAAGCUUCCCUUUGUACCCCUUUUGCUUGUUUCAUUAUAUUGCGCGUUGGGAAUGAUUUACUCAUGGGUAUGGCAGUUGAGGUGUCUGAUGAAAUCCACCUGAUUUUUAAUACUAAGAGUG